rnacentral:rRNA from 1 species
AUACGGAGGGUGCGAGCGUUACUCGGAGUCACUGGGCGUAAAGCGUCCGUAGGCGGUCGGGUAAGUCGGGUGUGAAGGCCCCGGGCUCAACCUGGGAAGUGCACCCGAUACUGCUCGACUCGAGUGCGGGAGAGGAUGGCGGAAUUCCCGGUGUAGCGGUGAAAUGCGUAGAGAUCGGGAGGAACACCAGUGGCGAAGGCGGCCAUCUGGCCCGCAACUGACGCUGAGGGACGAAAGCGUGGGGAGCAAACAGGAUUAGAAACCCUAGUAGUCC